UACAUGGGGUGCAAACGUUGCUCGGAAUUAUUGGGCGUAAAGCGCACGUAGGUGGUCUGUUAUGUCAGAUGUGAAAGCCCUCGGCUUAACUGAGGAAGUGCACCUGAAACUGGCAGGCUUGAGUACGAAAGAGGGUCGCGGAAUUCCCGGUGUAGAGGUGAAAUUCGUAGAUAUCGGGAGGAACACCGGUGGCGAAGGCGGCGACCUGGUCCGAUACUGACGCUGAGGCGCGAAAGCUAGGGGAGCAAACAGG
rnacentral:rRNA from 1 species